rnacentral:tRNA from 1 species
CGGGGCGUGGCGCAGUCCGGUUUAGCGCACCAGCAUGGGGGGCUGGGGGUCGGCCGUUCGAAUCGGCUCGCCCCGA